rnacentral:rRNA from 1 species
UACAGAGGCCUCGAGCGUUAGGCGGAAUCACUGGGCUUAAAGCGUGUGUAGGCGGAGUUCUAAGUACCUUGUGAAAUCCCACGGCUCAACCGUGGAACUGCUUGGUAUACUGGUUCUCUUGAGGUACCUAGGGGCGAGCGGAACAAGUGGUGGAGCGGUGAAAAUGCGUAGAUAUCACUUGGAACGCCAACGGUGAAAACAGCUCGCUGGGGGGUAUCCUGACGCUGAGACACGAAAGCCAGGGGAGCAAACGGG